CGCACCCUUCUUGGGGAAGAAAAAAUUAACCCAAGGAAUGUUACGCGAUUUUGCAGGAACAUGACACCUUUCACUGGCAAAAUGGAAAUAUCUUUGAAACAUUCAGGUUUGGAUGAGUGUCUUCCUAGACCCAGAUAACCUAGAACGGAGCUCCCCCACAGAUUUAUCGUCGCGUCUCAGAGCCAUUGUUUACGUCUCGGACGGGCUUCGUAAAUUCCCGUUUUAAAGUGCCCUGGAAAUUGUCUGCACCCACAAUUUCGACGCUCGUAUCUCUGUUCUUUAAGAUAAUGCUCGCUUGCUUUUCUUCUACAGUAGUUUUUGAUAGGGGAGACACCUUUGUCUCUGUGGAUGAAUUUGCUUACAAGAGCAAGGUGUAUAGAAUGUUUUCAAGGUAUUUGAUAAUUUUUACUAAUUUCACUCAAUCAAAAAUUGGAUUUCCAAGCGGUAUAUAAAUAACAAAGUUAUCUGGAAUACGGUGGACCGACUUCAUAAAUUUUGAUGCUAGGAGGUCAAGAAUGACCACCCCUAUUUCAAAAAUUGAACAAGAAGCUUCGCCAUCGCAGCUGCAACGAUGAAAGUUACCACACCAUAUCUGUAAAAACUUUGAUUAAUUUCACCCGGAAGCAACAUUUCAUCUAAGUAUUAGAGUGUAGAUUUUAUACGAAAUAGCUCCUGGAUAAACCACGAGAGCAAUUUUUAUCAAAAACUUUGAUUAACUUGUCACACGAAGAUCAGCCCCCUCGAAAGUUCAGUUUCACGAGGAGAAAUUUCUAACUAAACUUCAUACUGUUCUCUAUAUUUUAAAAGAACGAAUUUAAGAAAAUAACUGUAUUUUAUCCUAAUUAUAGAAAGGAUUCGUACUUAAACCCUUCGCUCUUCGAAGGAAGCAAAGAUCACUAUCUCAACCCUUUAUCCUGAAAAAAGAACAAAGAAGAAGAAGAAAGAGCUCAUUUUCUCGUUUCCAUUGCACCAGGAACCAUCGUCGAGGGGUCUGAAUUUCAGAACGCAGCUGGUCGAACCAGGAAUCGGCCAUGUUUGGGCGAAGAGGGAAAGAAAGAGAUAGAAAGCCGAUCGAAGGAAAGGAAGUAGGGAUCUCCGUCGAUCCGAGCAUCACGAUUCAACGAGGCUCGAUGCUCUUCCCUAUGGAAGGGAUGACGGGUCUAGAAUGUCGAACCGUUUUGGGGGUAGGUUGCUUCGAAAACCACCCCCUCCGGCUACCGAGAAUAAUCCAGAGUAUAAAUUGGAUUGUCGGUGGAACGUGGAAACUGAACGUGGCAGAAGGGGAUCGAAUGGUGCUUGCAAAUAGAGAAGAGAAAGGUAACACUGUGAACUGGAGCGCACACGGAUAUAGUCGACACCUUUCAACACAUGGAAAUCAGGCUUCACGAACGUACCACGUGGAUACGUGCCAAAGGGGAACCUCUAUCCUUCGUGAUUUUCGCUGCUGGCUCGUCGCGACGAUUGCCAGGGAGGAAACUAACGUCGAAUUAUGCUCGCGUGCCUGCUCGCUCGAUUACGCUCGUGUUAUCGCGCUACCUUUUGCUAUCUAACUAAUUUCACGUCCACCGAUUUCUCUACUCGCAUCGUCGCUUUAAAGUAUUCAUGUUGAUCGCAAAAUUUUAAAUAUUUUCCAGCCUUAAAUUUGAUUUCAAAGUCGACCAUGUAUGUGAACUUGAAGUGUUUUAGUUAACAUUUAUAAAUGUUAUAGAAAUUUUCAAAAGAUCCCGUGAUAAGUUAUUGACAAUCGUAUCCCUGGCUACAAAAAGAGGAUAACACCAAAAUGAAAGCAAGUGGAAGGAAAAUGAAGGAAACAGAGAACUCAUCGCGAAAAUGGAAGGGAUUAAUCUCCGACGAUGAUCUGUUUGGUCGUGAUCCGACAUGCAAUUUAGAAGGUUCCAAGCCGUGACCGCUACAUCUCGUUACUGCAAAGUAAACUCUGAUAAAUUGUUCGGGGGAGUUGUUUACAAGGUGCACGCCAGAUUCCCAGCUUCUUCUCAUCACGGCACGUCACGUCGCGCAGAAAUAUAAGGUCUGACAAUUUCGCCAAGCAGUUCGACGUUAAAACUGAAGCCUUGUACCCUGCGAAAGUCAAGAGGAACGACGAUACUUCUUCCCUCCAGCAAGCUUAAUUUUCUCUCCGCGUCGACGAGUUCCACGCUCGCUUAUUUCCAGUGCAACCGUUCGGUCGCACCUGCACCUGCGGCGAAGAAUCGUCGACGAAAGGCCAGAGGAAGGGUGGAGGGACGAUUCCCAUGGAAGACGUAGGUGGAGUCGAGUAGAUUAUCUCGCCAGACAGCGAAAUGGCAAAGUUCUCGGUCGAAGGUGUAUGUCGACGGACGAAAACGAAGACGGACGAAGCGAACCAUUGAAAGAGGAAGCGAGACGAGGUUACGUAGAGGGUGAAAGAGGAGGAAGAGAAAGCUUUUUAGGCUUUUCUUCGGAACAGUGCAGACGCAGCUGUGUGGAAACUGCAAUGACACGCCCCUCGCCCCAAUCCCUCCUCUCCGUACCGUCAUCUUCCUCGUCUUCCACCCUCGAACUGGUCAGGGGGUAGGUUCUCCGCGAGCUUGGGCUACCGAGCCAGCAGGGUCGAUUCGAACCCUCACCAGCAGUCCUACCCAGUGGUGGGGAAUGAAACAUACACAGGAAUCUCUUUGUGUGCGUUCGACGUCGAUGUUGCUCUGCAUGGUGUGCAGUUGUUCCUCCGGGUCAGACUGGUCCGCUUUCGAACGCCCGCGAGCUGUACGGAGUGUUGAGAAAGUAUACACCCACGGCGAAUCAUGGGUCAAACUUUGCGUUUAACCUUUGCCUUUUAACAUUUAAUACACGUUUACUAUACAUCCUUCUAACUCAAUGAUAACUGGAUUUCUUGAAGGGAUUUCUUCCCUUCUGAGUCUGUAACAGUGUGGGUCCGAUAUAAAUCCUUAUAAUUGAGAUAUAUCAACAAACCUUUUUUCAAAUAUUCAUUCAACUCUUGAAGCAGAGAAUCAGUUCCAUAAACUAUGAUCAUUGUUUUCACGACACCCUGUACAAGCUCGCGCUUCGAGUUUGUUCUUAUCGGUGAAGCUACAUCUCCGUGGUGACGGUGGAUGCUGGGCUGUGGUGGUGGUUGGCUUGAACGUGUCCUCUUUGCCCCUCUGUCCCGGUUGCUCCGCAGCAUCACGCACAGAUCGAUACGCGGCUGCUAGGUACACCUAUUCCAGGAUUCUAGCCGGGUGCGAGAGUGGUUUGGCUGCAGGAUGGAGGAUUUUCGAGCCGGGCGAUUCUUGCAAUCGCGCCUCUUCCUUCGAUUGCGAGAGCCGAUCAGCCGAUACACUGAAGAAAGGCGAUCAUUUGGAAAGGCCAGCUGCCGCGCGACGAAAUUACAUCGGCGAAUUUCGCGCGGAAAUGCUUGCCCACUAUCGUUGGAAACGUUCCAGCUUCCUUUCGGAUAUUCGUUUUUCUUCUUUCUUUCUCCACCUGUCGCGUCGAUGUUUAUUGGACCAUCCAGUUGCAGUGCAUUUGAAAUGGUAUUGGGUCUGAUAAAGAAGAAUCUUAAUUGGGUUAUUUUAUUUCGAUGUUGAUGAAGUCUUCUGUCAGGUACAACUCUUGAAGUUGAUACACUUGUUCGUAUGUUCAUUCACAGUUGAUAAACGAAUCGCUAAUUAUGCCAACGUACCAUAAUUAUGAUAAUCUGACGUUCAUCAGAUCGACUCGCGAUAUUCUCAGCAACAAUAAUUAAUCGAAUAUACAACGUCAUCAUACUCCACUUUUAUGUUCAGUACCGAAACAUGUCCACAACGAAGUUGAACAGCCGUUCAAUUAAAUCGUGCAACACCGAUCGUCAGAUCUCUUCAAGAUUUUUCAUGGCUCGCGUAAAAACGAUCGAACCACUGUGCAAGCAAUUCGCUAAUCUAACCGGUGGUCAACAGAAAGAAACCACGAUAAUCAUGCUCCAUUUGCGAGACACCGGCGACACAGCUUAUCUGUACACCGAAAAAUGGCCAAGCGUCUUCGUUAAGCACGAUCGGCCUGGUCAGAUAAGCUCUUCCUUUUUAUGACUCGGCUGUGUUCGCGCGAUCAGCCAUCGAAUCGACCAGCUCCUCCUACCUUCAGGGUCUUCUCCGCCCUUCAUCCUGUUCCGCUGUCGGCGAACUGAAAGUCGGAAGAACGUAUUCGCUUCCACAGGAAGCGAUGUUUUGUUUUUUGUUUUUUAUUUUUGUCUUAUUCCAUAGUCCAUCAAAUUCCAUUUUCCAAAGAACUAAUGGAGAAAUCGAAUAUCUACUCAAACAUCCAACCAUUUUCUAUCAAUUUCAUUACAGCAUUCCUAUAAAAGACUUCGUAAGGCGGCAACAUUUCAAACGUGUCGCGUUAAUGAGGCAGAAAGUCGGCUUCUACACCGCGAGAGUAAAUAAAGCGAGUAAAUAAAGAAGGAUUUUUAUUCACGGCAAAUUGCAGGCUAUCUCGAUAAAUGUACGGUCCGUUUCGAAAGCAGCUACGGGUAAAAAGGAAUCAUUUCAAAGAAAGAAAGAAGACAGAGAAAAAAGGAAAGAACAGUGGAAUCUGCGUUUAAUCCAUGACCAGAUAACGGUCUCGAUUGGAUCCUACUCUCCAAUCGUGCCACUCUUAACGAGCAACUAUUUUUCGUUCACUAAUGGCUUUCGAACGAAAUAAAUGUGUUACUAUUCGUCCACAAAGAUAAUUAUAAUAAUGAGGAGAACAAAGUCGAAUCAGUGUUCCUUGGAAAAUAUGUCAUUUUUUGUGAACAAGAUUGAUUUUGAAGGUAAUCAUACAUUUGAUUGCACACCUCUGACUAUAUAAUCCCAAAGAAACUGAAUUCGCCGAACAGAUGUGUUAGCCACCCCGACACACAAUUUCUGCCGGUCGAGACAGAAACGAGGAGCAGCGGUGCACGUGGGCGGUAUCAUUGGUCCGCGAGCGAAUAAAUGAAUUAGUAAAUAACGAAUUUUAUCCCGCGGCAUUGGCCAGGAAUCCGAUAAGCUGGCAACCUGGCAUGGUGAUUUCCAGGUGGUAGGGGAUAUCUGGCGUAUAAAAAGCACGCGUUAUGCCUACCUGUCCGUCCAAUGGGGUAGCUUCAGUCCCGCCGAGCAAAGGGGGGAACCGUUUUUCGAAUGAACGAAGAAGCAGAAGAGGAAAAAAAAAUGAAGAAGAAGAAGAAGAGAAACAUCGAAUCGAUGCGGUUUCUUACGGGGAACGGGUUCGAGAGCGUUGGCGAAACGCGGUGUCCGCUGGGAAAAGAAAACGAAGAGGACGGACGCGAGUAGAAGAGGAUCCGAAGAGAGAAGGGAUGAAAAGUGCGAAAGAACGCAACCGUGUCUGAUAACUUUAGAACCCUCCCGGGUCUUUAUUGAUACUUGGACGUUUCCACUUGUCCCAUAUACAUACCGGUGCGCCCCGCGGAUACGCUUCGACCCUCGAGCGCACGCCACGGAAUGUCCAGGAUUACGUGAACCAACAGCCUCCUGAUCUUUUCUCUUUUAUUUCUUAUUUCCUAGCUCUCGCGUCGAUUGCUUUUUAUUGUAUCCGCGAUGCUUCGAUUUUUUACCUUCGUUGAUCUUGUAUCAGCAAACUGGACACCAUUUUGUUGUGAACUUUGUUGAUCCAUCUAGGAAGACACACCAUUCUAAGUGGAUAAGGUGCUCGAUCGGCGACGAGGUUCAAUGUACCUGUCAAAGCUCAUGAAAUGUCGACCCAAUUUCCCGUCUGGAACGAAAGGACCGACGAAAAAUUCGGUUUACGAUUAUUACGCAUUGCGGUGGUGAUCUUGAUAUAAAUAGAGCGGCCGCGUGGCUGAUGGACGCCUCUCUAAAUCACGCUAUUCCGCGCGAGGAAGCUCGUCUUCCUCACGUGUUAUCAAGAUUCAAUGCUCUCGUGACCAGCUUCUCUGGUGAAACCUUUACUAGACUUAUGGCUACUCUAAGUACUUAUUAAAUGUUUAAAAAUUUUCCAUAAUCUUUAUUUAUAUUUCUACGUGCCAAUAAAAAAUUUAAUUUAAGAAUUUUUAUUACUAUUAACAGAAUUAUGUUAUUUAGUACAAUACAUCUGCAUCAAU